rnacentral:rRNA from 1 species
CACAUGCAGUCGAGCGGAGAUAGUACGAGGAAGUUUUCGGAUGGAAUUGUAAUAUCUUAGCGGCGGACGGGUGAGUAACGCGUGAGCAACCUGCCUUUCACAGGGGGAUAAGGCGGCGAAAGCCGCUCUAAUACCGCAUGAGACCACGGUACCGAUGGUACAGGGGUCAAAGGAGCAAUCCGGUGAAAGAUGGGCUCGCGUCCGAUUAGGUAGUUGGUGGGGUAGAGGCUCACCAAGCCAAUGAUCGGUAGCCGGCCUGAGAGGGUGAACGGCCACAUUGGAACUGAGAGACGGUCCAAACUCCUACGGGAGGCAGCAGUGGGGAAUAUUGGGCAAUGGGGGAAACCCUGACCCAGCAACGCCGCGUGAAGGAAGAAGGUUUUCGGAUUGUAAACUUCUGUUCUUGGGGAAGAGAAGAAGACGGUACCCAAGGAGGAAGCCCCGGCUAACUACGUGCCAGCAGCCGCGGUAAUACGUAGGGGGCAAGCGUUGUUCGGAAUCACUGGGCGUAAAGGGCGCGUAGGCGGACGAUUAAGUCAGGGGUGAAAUCCCGGGGCUCAACCCCGGAACUGCCUUCGAUACUGGCGAUCUUGAGGAUGAGAGAGGCGAGUGGAAUUUCGAGUGUAGCAGUGAAAUGCGUAGAUAUUCGAAGGAACACCAGUGGCGAAGGCGACUCGCUGGCUCAUUUCUGACGCUGAGGCGCGAAAGCGUGGGUAGCAAACAGGAUUAG